CAUAUGUGCUCUGCAGCUGACU
rnacentral:miRNA from 1 species